AGCGAACGCUGGCGGCAGGCCUAACACAUGCAAGUCGAACGGAUCCUUCGGGAUUAGUGGCGGACGGGUGAGUAACACGUGGGAACGUGCCCUUUGGUUCGGAACAACUCAGGGAAACUUGAGCUAAUACCGGAUGUGCCCUUCGGGGGAAAGAUUUAUCGCCAUUGGAGCGGCCCGCGUCUGAUUAGCUAGUUGGUGAGGUAACGGCUCACCAAGGCGACGAUCAGUAGCUGGUUUGAGAGGAUGAUCAGCCACACUGGGACUGAGACACGGCCCAGACUCCUACGGGAGGCAGCAGUGGGGAAUGUUGCGCAAUGGGCGAAAGCCUGACGGAGCCAGGCCGCGUGAAUGAUGAGGGUCUGAGGAUUGUAAAAUUCUUUCAGCGGUGACGAUAAUGACGGUACCCGCAGAAGAAGCUCCGGCUAACUUCGUG
rnacentral:rRNA from 1 species